AUGGCAUGUGUGUUUCUCCAGGGACCUUUCGAACAUGACGAUAUCUGGUUUUGAUUGGUGACUUGGAGUAUCUCCUUAACGCAAGAACCAUUUAGCUGAAGAGAUCCGUCAAAGUUUGGCAAUCUUAGGAGUGUCCUAGAGAUAGACCUUUCACAUAAUCGGCUCACUGGUCUAAUCCCUCAAGAAGUUGGCCAGCUUCAGAAUUUGUAUACACUGCUUCUUUUUGUGGUUAUUGGCUUGGUUCUCCAAUGCCAGACAUCUCAUCCACCAGAAUGACGCAAGUUCAACUAGAAAACCAAAGAUUUGUAGCUCACCAC